CCUGGGCAGCAAGUUAGGGGCUUUGUCAGUGGCCCAGGUAAGGGCAGUAAAGGCCUGGAAAAUGGCAGUGGUAGAAAGGGAGGAAGAGGAUUGCAGGCUCCUGGAGCAGACAAGGAGUCUUAUUUCUCUUUGCCUCCCAACCCCCAGGUCCUACUAGUGUGCCCGGCAUGGGAGAGCUCCCUGACGAGUGGUUAAGACAGAGGAUGUGUCGGACCCCUCAGGGGUCAUGGGUGACUCGGGUUCUGGCCAGUGCUCACUCAUCUGCCUCCCCUGAGUGCUCUUCCCUGUCCACUCGGACCUGUUGCUUUCUCUUUCCCCUCACUCAUGGCUGCCUACACCCUGAGGAGAUGAGAAGUAUCAGGGGCAAUGAAGAGAGGUGACAUCUGAGAAUGGUGGCAGUGAAUGAAGACAAAAAGGUUUACUUGAAACAUUUCUGGGAGCAAUUGUUGUUCAGAGAGGUUCUGCUUAAUACUUUCGAUCCUGGGGCCCUCUGAGAAUGAGCUGGAAGCUGGUUCCCAAUGAUAUUCUGGGAACCCAGGAACUAACUGGCACAGAGGAAGACUAGAAGUCCCAUGAGAGCACGGAUGUCUUGUCCCUAGCACCUGGAACAGCACCCACCACAUAGU